CGCAUCUGUGCAUGCAGCAUAUCAAUAAGCGGAGGAAAAGAAACUAACAAGGAUUCCCUUAGUAACGGCGAGUGAAGCGGGAAGAGCUCAAAUUUGAAAUCUUCAAGGUUUUACCUUGACGAAUUGUAGUUUAAAGAAGUGUUUUCUGCUGAAGUUUUGGUAAAAGUUCUUUGGAAUAGGACAUCAUAGAGGGUGAGAAUCCCGUAUUUGACCAUUAUUUUCAGCUUUGUGAUACACUUUCAAAGAGUCGGAUUGUUUGGGAAUGCAGUCCAAAAUGGGUGGUAAAUUUCAUCUAAAGCUAAAUAUUGGCGAGAGACCGAUAGCGAACAAGUACCGCGAGGGAAAGAUGAAAAGAACUUUGAAAAGAGAGUUAAACAGUACGUGAAAUUGUCAAAAGGGAAGCGUUUGACACCAGUGUUGUUUUCUCGAAAAUCAAUUACGAAAUGGCUUGAUUUUGUAUUGCUGAGACCUUAAAAGCUCACUGUACAUUUUUCGUGUCUUUUUUAAUGCACUUUUCGUUUAACAAGUCAACAUCAGUUUCUUUUGUUGUAAAAGGGUCAUUGGAAGGUGGCUUUCUUUUCGGAGAAAGUGUUUAUAGCCUUUGGCCUCUGCAAUCGGAGAGACUGAGGUCUGCAGCGUAGACUCUUCGGGGUUAGAUACAUUUGUGCUAAGUUAUAGCUUUUUAUAGACAACUUGUUGACUAUAAUUAGUCUUGUAGCUUACUCGCUUAUGCUAUUUUACCUACGCUUAGGAUGUUGAUAGUCAUCGUAUCGCGC
rnacentral:rRNA from 1 species